CAGUAGCCGCGGUAACACGUAGGUGGCAAGCGUUGUCCGGAAUUAUUGGGCGUAAAGGGCUCGCAGGCGGUUUCUUAAGUCUGAUGUGAAAGCCCCCGGCUCAACCGGGGAGGGUCAUUGGAAACUGGGAAACUUGAGUGCAGAAGAGGAGAGUGGAAUUCCACGUGUAGCGGUGAAAUGCGUAGAGAUGUGGAGGAACACCAGUGGCGAAGGCGACUCUCUGGUCUGUAACUGACGCUGAGGAGCGAAAGCGUGGGGAGCGAACAGGAUUAGAUACCCGCGUAGUCCCUGUCUCUUAUAC
rnacentral:rRNA from 1 species